GGAGGGUGCAAGCGUUAUCCGGAUUCACUGGGUUUAAAGGGUGCGUAGGUGGGCUAGUAAGUCCGUGGUGAAAUCUCUGAGCUUAACUCGGAGACUGCCGUGGAUACUAUUAGUCUUGAAUCUCGUGGAGGUAAGCGGAAUAUGUCAUGUAGCGGUGAAAUGCUUAGAUAUGACAUAGAACACCGAUAGCGAAGGCAGCUUGCUACACGAGUAUUGACACUGAGGCACGAAAGCGUGGGGAUCAAACAGGAUUAGAUACCCUGGUAGUCCACGCCCUAAACGAUGGAUACUCGACAUACGCGAUACACAGUGUGUGUCUGAGCGAAAGCAUUAAGUAUCCCACCUGGGAAGUACGACCGCAAGGUUG
rnacentral:rRNA from 1 species